GAGCAAAUGAAUAAAAUAAAAAACACAAAUGCUUGUUCGACAAUAUUAACUAUUUUAGUAAUCGUUAGUUAUUUUAGUAGUUAUCAAUUACUAGAUAUUGUAUAUCAGCUAUUUAUAUAGUUAUUAAAAUAAAAAUGUUUGAUAAAAAUAAUUAUUAAAUUAAUUAUUAAAUAUAAAAAUAAUUAUACAAUCUUGUUUACCCUAGUCUAGACAAUCCCUUAAUCUCUAAAAGUUAGGAGGGAUAAUUUUUCAUUAAUUACCUUCUCAAACUCUAAAUACGAGUAUAAACACUAUGUUAUUAAAUAUCAUUUUAAAAGUUAUUGU
rnacentral:misc_RNA from 1 species